CGGUGGAGCCAGGGAGGCAUGACGGUGGACAUGUGGAUGUUAUCAUGGCAUUGAAAAAUUUCGCUCCACCGGCACUGCAUACCAACGUGAAGAUGCUGCAGACUAUGAAGUUUUCAGAGCUCAAACAUAAAACAAUGCAUAUUUUUGCAAAAACAAAUUGCUUUGUUCUGCCCCAACCAUCUUGAUAGAACUUUGGGAUCACCUAAAAGUUACAAGGCAUGCUUCCUGAUUUGUUCCAAUGAUACAAAAUCAUAAAUUGUUUUUAUCAUUGUCAAAUGUAGGCAGCUAUACUGUUGCAACAUUCAAGAGGGAAGUCUGCACUCAUUUUCUGUUCUACAAGAAAAAGGUGCACAAGAAGCAGCACAGUGCCUCUCAAAAACUGCACUCUCUUGGCUAUUGAACAAAUUCAUUCGUGAAAUCGAUGCAGCAGUAUGAAAAUCUAUGAGAAGCUUCAUUAACCUGUAGUUGUUGUUCA